AAAUGGAAAUGUGAUGUGGUCCUGAGAGCCUUCGGCAGCUCAGAGACAUGAACUCCUGCAAACAAACCGCCUGCAGGGUCUGAGGCUGCAACUCUGAGGGCAAAUGAGCCGAAGUGAUGGCUGCUCUCAGCGCCGACGGUGGAAAAAUGACGGAGAAGGAAACAAGGAAAACUUCCAGACCUGUUUGGAGACCAAAGCUUCAGCAGAAACUCCAUUUCCCAUAAGCCCCUUGAGGAGCAGCUAUCAAGCUAAUGAGGUGCAGUUGAGGCUGAAGCUCCAUGAAAAUGUCUCAGUUCAGUCGGAGGCAGAAGAGCAUCCGGAUCACAGGAAGGUUAACCUUCAGGAGGAAGCAGACGGAUUCCUUCGUCGGCCCGUUUGAACCAGGAGGUUCUGACCCAGCUUGGACCGCGGACUCAUGGGGCUCGCUGACGGACCGCUCCGGGACCAGAUCUGGACUCCGCAUCCAUGAUCCGGAAACGCCGCCAUCAGGGACCGCCUUCCCUCCAAAUACAGCAGCGCCGCUCUAAUGAAGCAGCAAACACCAUCAAUAGGCUGAUCUAAUCCUCCUCAAAUGACUCUUUGGCACCCCCUGGUGGCUCACAGGAGUCUAACGUUUAAGCAGCUCAGCAGGUGACUAACAGACAGACGUCUCAGGGAAUCAUCUGUCCAAAUCCUCCACAUCAUCCUCAUCCUCUGCUCUCAUUCUGCUGGGACAGUCCUGCAGACUCUGAGGAUCUUCUCCGUUCAUCUCCAGAACCAGCAAACGCGACUCCUUCAGAUGUCAGCUGACAUGUCUGGGAUGAGGAUGAGAGGAAUGUUUGAUCCAGAAUCUCCUCCUGACAGUAACCUGGAGAAGAUCCUUCAGCCUCUGAGGGUUUGGAAAAGGAACUCAACUGUUUGAUGAGAGGAAAAAUUCAAAUCUGUUUGCAGUGGCGGCACCAACUCUGAAGACAAUCAGGAGGAGUCUGCGAGUAGGCGGCUGCGCCUGCGUCC